CCAGAAGGAAGCACAUGGAGAACGCCGCCAUCUUGGACUCCGCCAUCUUGGGACGCCAGGUAAGAACUCCUUACAUAAACCAACUGACAAAUCCCUAGUUAUAAAGUCACCUUUCUUAUAUGACACCCUGCUGUAUGUCCCCCACUCAUUAGCUUUCACCCCCCAAUUAUCCCCAUGGCAUGUGACUCUGCUACCCCUUCUAGUUCCAGAUUUGGAUAAAUGGAGCGUGUAUUUAGCUACAGUGUUGGUACUUUAUAGCAGGGCAAAUACCCAGGGGCAGAGGGGCAAAACUGUAAGGAGCCUGUCAAUACUGGUCAUACAAAUAGUGUUAUAGUGAGGCACAGGGGUCCCCAAAUGUUAUCUGUUUAGUCAUCCACUAGUCUUGGGGGCAUCCCCUAACAUUCCCCCCCCUUUUUUUUUUUUACUAAAAUAAGGGUUGUCAAAAAAUCUCUCACAUUUACCACUCACCACUCCAACUAACGGACAAAACCAACUGUCAAAUCCCUGGGGGUAAAGUCACCUCUCAUCUCUGCUCUUAAAUCAUGAGACUUAUAAAUAAAUGUUAUUGUGCAAAAGAAAGAAGCAUUGCUAUUUAUUCCAUUAAAUUCAGUUACAUGCUACCUUCUUAUGGGGUUAUUGUAGAAAAACGUGUAUAUGUGCUGUCAGCCCUGCAUAAAUCCUGAGUCUGUGUAUCCCAACCAGCGCUAAGAUUAAAGUCCUCUCCAAAGCUCAUUUUAGGGGAAAAUUCUUUAAAUUCAGUAAGAGGAACAACAUCCGCUAGUCUGGGGGCAUCACAUAACUAUUUCCCCCCUUAUUUGACUAAAAUAUGGGUUAUUUGUCACAAAAAUCUCUCACAUUUACCACUCACCACUCAACCAAUGGACCAAACCAACUAUCAAAUCCCUGGGUGUAAAGUCACCUCUCAUCUCUGCUCUUAAAUCACGAGACUUAUACAUAAAUGUUAUUGUGUAAAAGGAAGAUGCAUUGCUAUUUAUUACUUCUUAUGGAGUUACUGUAGAAAAGGUGUAUAUGUGCUGUCAGCCCUGCAUAACUGCCAAAUCCUGAGUCUGUGUCUCCCAACCAGCACUAAGAUUAAAGUCAUCUCCAAAGCCCAUUUUAGGGGAAAAGUCUCUAAAUUCACUAAAAUCAGUGAGAGGAUAAAUAUCUGUUAGUCUGGGGAGUGUCACCCAACUAUUUUCCCUCUUUUUUCAUUAAAAUAAGCAUUAUUUGACAAAAAAUAUCUCCCAGAGGGAAUAUCCACUUACCAAUCACCACGGUGGCAACCAACGGACUGAACCAACUGUCACAGCCCUAGGGUGAAGUCACCUCUGUUCCCUGCUCUUAAAGGGGAAGUGUACCCUGUAAGUAAGGUUCAUAAUAGUAAGUUGUAUAUGGCAUUUAUUUCCACUUCCACUUCCACUUACUGUGCUGCCAUAUCUUUUUGAUUCAUGAAUUCAUCAGCCAUGGAUUCAAUCAUUGCUGCUGCUCCUGUUAUUUUUGUUUUAUAAAACGCUGUGUCCCCUUUCACUGUGCCCUAGGGAGACUCGGCAAACCCCUGGGGACACAGGAAAGUACAGAGGGCAUUGGAGAGAUUAAUUUGUGAACCUUCCUUCAUGUGCCAUUUUGGAUCACAGUGAUAGAAGCACUGCUUGGAUGAAAGAUGGCACAUGAAGGAAGGUUCACAUAAUUACAUUAAAGAUGAUUUGGGAAGGGAUAAUGUCUGAGGAGGCCAAGAUGCUUAUGUAAGUAGGACUGAUCCUUUUAAAAUCUGAUAAUUUGCCCAAGCCCUGUAACCAAUAGAAACCAGUGAUGCAUUUGUGACUUUCACCUGUCCAUAUCCUCCAUUUUUAAUACCUUCAGAACCUAUAAAACUGUUUGUCUUUUUCCUGUGGCCCAAACGUAGUUGCCUGUGAUAACGUAGUUAUCUCAAUUUCUUCAAUAGGCUGAUUGCAAUUUCAAACUCCACCAUAAAUUACUGAAUAAAGCAGCGGUUUUCAUAUUUUAUUAAUACAAGCCUCACUUGAAGGUCCAUCCUCUGGCCAGGGCCUACUUUAGCUCAUGAAAUGAGUACAGGAAUAGGAAAAUAUUGGUGUAUCGUGAUUUCAUUAUAUCAUGGUUUCAAGAAUAUGAAUUGAAGUGUUGGUCAGUGUUUAGCCCAGCUCUCUGGUGGAUCAGUCUAAUCACGUUACCUUUCUUUUCUCUCUCAUUUAGAAGUGUUCGUGUGGGAAGUGGUCAGCAAGAGUGAAAUUCCAUUUGAACAUUUUUUCAACUUAUGGAGGCUGGACUAAGGCUCUUCAAACCCAAGAUGUCUCUUGAAAGAGUGUACAUGCUGAUGAGCAACUACUGGUGAUUAUGACCAAGCGUACAAAGAACAUGAGCAAAUUCAGUUCUGUCACUGUAUCAACAAUUGAUGAAGAAGAGGAGGAGAUUGAAGCGGGAGAAGUUGCAGAUUCCAAGCCCAAAAUGCAGCUGGAAAGAAAGGGCAUGAGCAAGAGGAGGCUGCAGGAGUUGGUAAUAGCCAUCAUACAUGGAAGAUACAGCAGUCCAUGCACUGACCACUUCACUUUGCUUAGAUUUUUUGUGAGGAUCAGUGUCUCCACCUAUAUAUAUGCACAUGUUUUGUCCACCAUAUACAACUCUGGCGCUCUCAUCACAACAGUUACACCCUUAUAGAAAUACUGUGGGCAGGUAGAGGUUAAAUGUCCUAUGGCUGGAGGCAGCUCUUUAGAUCUAGGCAUCCUAGAGAAACCCUUGUUUUUACCUGUUCUGUUCUGAUAAUAAUAAUAAUAAGCACAGAUCUCUGGGUAACCACUUCACAUUUUAAUAGGGGAUAUGUAUGGCAUUGCUCUGGUCUGAAGAGCAUUUUCAUCACCACUAUAUGAACAAUUCCCUUUAAUUUUAAUGGGAAGUGCUACUGCCAGUGAUUAUAAUUGGCCAAGAGGGCUGUCUUUCAGUAUUUACCAAUAAUGUUAAUUUACUGUAAAACAAACUUCAAUAGAAUCCUACCUCUAUGGGUUAAAUACUGUGGUGCUCUAUCUGGGAACUUUGCUGCUCUUCAGUUCCAUACAUGAAGCAAUAACAAUGAGAAAUCAAAUGGCACUCACCAAGCAAAAUGUGCUGAAUUUUUGUGGUUUAUUCAGAUCUCUGCACAAAGUUUCAGGGGAUCAACCCCGUUUCUCAAGUGCUCUUACAAAAGUGAACAGGAAACAGGUAUAAAUAGUAGGGAUGCACCGAAUCCAGGAUUCGGUUCGGGAUUUGGCCAG